CCUACGGGUGGCAGCAGUGGGGGAUAUUGCACAAUGCGGGGAACACUGAUGCAGCGACGCCGCGUGAAUGACGAAGCCCCUCGGCGCGUAAAGCCCUGUCAGCAGGGAAGAAAAUGACGGUAACUGAAGACGAAUCCACGGCUAACUACGUGCCAGCAGCCGCGGUCAUACGUAGGGGGAACGCGUUAUCCGGAUUUACUGGGUGUAAAGGGGGCGUAGACGGCGGUGCAAGCCAGGAGUGAAAGCCGGGGGCUCAACCCCGGGACGGCUGGUGGUACUGCGUGGCUGGAGUGCAGGCGGGGAUGGCGGAAUUCCUGGUGUAGCGGUGAAAUGCGUAGAUAUCAGGAGGAACACCGUUGGCGAAGGCGGCCAGCUGGAUUGCAACUGACGUUGAGGUCCGAAAGCGUGGGGAGCAAACAGGAUUAGAUACCCGAGUAGUC
rnacentral:rRNA from 1 species